rnacentral:rRNA from 1 species
UACGUAGGAGGCGAGCGUUGUCCGGAGUUACUGGGCGUAAAGCGCGUGCAGGCGGUCAUCUCAGUCUGUGGUGACAGUUCCCGGCUCAACUGGGAAAGCGUUACGGAUACUGGAUGACUUGAGGGCUUCAGAGGGAUGUGGAACUCCGGGUGGAGUGGUGAAAUGCGUAGAUAUCCGGAAGAACACCAAAGGCGAAGGCAGCAUCCUGGGAAGAACCUGACGCUCAGAUGCGAAAGCCAGGGGAG